ACACACUCCACCCCCUGUGAACAAACUCAUUGGUGGAACAUGAAGGACCCUGGGACCAAGACCUUGAGCUGUGUAAAGGACCCCCAAAAAAUGGAGCUGCUUCCCGUUCUCCCAGAACAUUGAUUUUUGUGACCACAGUUACAAACCGCCUCCAGAGAGCCUGUUCUGCACCAGACCAGUGGAGCCAGACUGCAGCUAGAGCCCAUCAUCAUCCUCAUCUGGUUGUAAGUAGGCA